rnacentral:rRNA from 1 species
GACGAAGGAUGCAAGCGUUAUCCGGAUUCAUUGGGUUUAAAGGGUGCGUAGGCGGACUUGUAAGUCAGUGGUGAAAUCUCUCAGCUUAACUGAGAAACUGCCAUUGAUACUGCAGGUCUAGAGUAUAGAUGACGUUUGGCGGAAUAUGACAUGUAGUGGUGAAAUACUUAGAUAUGUCAUAGAACACCGAUUGCGAAGGCAGCUAACGAAACUAUAAACUGACGCUGAGGCACGAAAGUGCGGGGAUCAAACAGG